CCCGGCUCUCUAGUCUCUGCGAUCAGAGGGCGGCGGUCGGGUCUGCAGCUCAUCCAGGUGAACGCAUCCUUAGCGGAACCCGGCCGAGCUGGCGCCCAGGAAGGACACCCAGCUAGAGGUGACUCCCAGGUCCCCAGCUCUGUGCCUUAGGUCCUCGGAUGAGAAGUAGGAACUGACCCCUCCGUCGCUUCGUGCGUGUUCUUCAGCUUUCACCACGACGUGGCCAGAGAUGAGGAAAUGGCCCAACAGUGCUCGUCCGGCCUUGGAGGAGGAUGGGACGGUGGGGACCACGCCGGGUGCUGGCUAGCGCUACGGAGGAGCGGGGAGGGCCGGGAGGUUCACUUCUGUUCCUCACAAGACCCAGGCUGGAGUUUUGGGCCCUGGUUGUGCUGCUGUGGUGAAGUUCAUGCCCCUCACAGUCACCUUAGGAGCUGCUGCAGGAAGGCUCUGGAGGCAGCUGUAACUGCGAGGAAGAGAAGGCACAGAAGUGGGACUUCCGGAGCACAGAGAGGGUGGCUGGUCAUCCGUGUCCCUUGGUCAUGUGCAGGAGGCUGAGGGCUGAUUGCUUUGAGAGAUUGGACAGAUGAAUGAAGGAGACCACCCACGGGUGUAGCGGAAGUGCGGAGCAAGUGCCACUGCCAUUCCUCACCUCUCUGUAAGUCCUGAAAUAGCACUGUCCUUACUAAGAGACUUUCCUUUCCUUCCAAAGGUUGUGUGGGUUCUGCAAAGCUUGGGCACACAGUAAGACUACUUGGCUGACUGAUCUGGGAUUUCCUGAGAAGGGCUUUUGAUUUCUUCCCCUCUCUAUGCCCAGUGGAUUAGCUUUGGGGGAACUGGAGUUUUGGGAGGCAUUUUGUUGCCGUGUGUUAUGGCUGUGUUUAGAAUUCCUCCUCAAAGCCUCUUGCUUUUCCUAGGUGGCUGAAUCUAGAGUGUGUGAUUGACUCAAGGUGGGGCUAGGCCUGAAGGCGCUAGGGGUAAGAGUGAGAAUGCUACCCUCCCUGCAUAGUCUGAAUAAAACAAAAGGGGCAGAAAGACACUGUUAAGGUCCCUUGUUACCUUUCCUAUCUUGUGCACCCCAUGUUGUUUCUCCUCUGCAAUGCCUGUUUGCCAUCCCUGCCUAGAGCCAGGCAAUUAUGGACUGAAACCUCUACAGACUGUGAGCUAAAGAAACCCUUUCUCCUUUUAAGUUUGGGUGUCAGGUAUUUUGUCUCAGCAACAAGAGAAAAGUCACUAACACACCCUGUCUUCCAUGUUUCUAUUGUUUGUUCCAUUUGUGUGUGUGUAAGUACACAUGUGUGCACUGAAGCUCAUGGCUUGAUUAUAGUGGAAAGACUUUGUUGCUAGUAUGGAGAUUUCUUUAGUUAAUAUAUGCUUUUCAGUGAUGCGCUCUGGUUGUGGCUAACUGUAGUCCUUGCCUCUGUCCCAAGAUCCAACCACCUCGGUUAAUUUAGGAGGGGAGAUUGCGGUAUAGUUGGCAGAGCACCUAGUUAUUUGGGCACAGACUGCAGUAUUGUUAAUGACACAAAUACAACCCAGAUAUAAGCAUGCAGAGAAAACCAAUUAAUAGCAACAACUAUGCCACCAUAAAUAGCAACCAAACCAGCAACAAAAAUAGUUUCAAAGACAAAUUGGGUAUUGAUAUACCAUAAGAAGCAAUAAUAUAUACCACCCUUAAGCGUAGAAGAGAUCUGUAAUGAUGCCGUAGACACUAAGGCAAACCAAACACUGCUCUAUAGUACAUAUCUACUAAAUGCACAACGGUCACUCCACUAAUAUAGAGAAGUAUCCAACAGUAGUAGCACAGAGCUGUCUGUCUAAAGAUUAAUAAAGCUUAAUGGUCAUACCAGAAAAGAUGGGUGGGUGCGGAAUAGGAGGACGAAGAAAGUAAGAUUGAAAAACGAAGCAAUGAGGAAGAGGAAAGUGAGCUAAAGGAUCCUACUAAAAAGUAAAAAGAAAUUAAUGGGAUUAAAUAAAAGCAACAGAAAAGGACAGACAAUUAAACAGAGAGAGAGAGAGCCAAAUAAAGGGAAAACAAGAAAAAAUUUUUUUAAAAACCAGGGUGGGGAAGAGUCCAAAAAAAUUCCUCUGUAUUUUUGAAUGAGUCAUUUUUUCCAGGAUCUGAAGUCUUGGAAUCCAGCAAGUUCUGUGGGCAGCAUCCAUCCACGAAAUAAAAAGGCCGAGGAGGGACCACUGCUUUCUCUGAUUCAGCUUGGACUUCCGUCUUCUGCCUGGAGAUACUGGAGCUCCUGGUUUGUGGGCCUUCAGACUCAGCCUGAAUUUCGCCACUAGCUGUCCUGUUUCUCCAGCUUGCAGGAGGCAGGUGUUGGGACUUGUUGGCCUCUGUACUUACAUGAAUCAAUUUCCAUUAUAAAUCCACCGAUAUUGACAUUAGCAUCGACAUAGAUAUAGGUCCUGUUGCUUUGGGCCUGUGGCUAGGCGGCACAUGAGGGUGAGAGCACGUGACCUCGUGGCCAGGAAGCAAACAGGAAGGGCUGCCAGUCCCAUAGCUCUCGCAAGGAUGUGCCCUGCGUUACCUAAGGACCUCCCAUUAGGCUCCUCCUCCGAAAGGAUCCCCGUAGGGAUGCACAUGAUACAUCCUGCUUCUUUUUCCCAUCUCCCCCUUCCCCUCAAGCUCCCUCCCCUCCCUCCAUACAAAAGCUUUGUUUCAGCAGGGCAUGGUGGCGCACGCCUGUAAUCCUAACACUCAGGAGGCUGAGGCGGGAGAAUCGCUGUGAGUUCGAGACCAGCCUGGGCUACACAGUGAGUUCCAGGUCGGUAUCACUACAUAGUGAGACCCUGUCUCAAAAAACCAAAAAAAAA
ensembl:lincRNA